UCGCCUGUUUAUCAAAAACAUAGCCUAAAGAAUCUAUUAUUUUAGGUAAAACCUGCCCAGUGAAAAACUUUCAACGGCCGCGGUAUCCUGACCGUGCAAAGGUAGCAUAAUCAUUUGUCUUAUAAUUUAAGACUUGUAUGAAUGGUUAAACGAAAUAAUUUCUGUCUCUUUUAUUUUAUAAAAUUACAACUAAAAGUGAAAAUGCUUUUAUUUCUAAAAAAGACAAGAAGACCCUAUAGAGCUUUAUUUUUAUAAAAAAUAAAAUUUUGCUGGGGCGGCAAGAAAAAUUUACAAACUUUUCUUUUUAAUUGAUUAAUAAAAUCUUAAGAUCCUUCUGGAAAAUAAGAAAAAGCUACCUUAGGGAUAACAGACUAAUUUUAAUUAAGAGUUCAAAUCGAAAUUAAAGAUUGGCACCUCGAUGUUGGCUUAGGAUUUUUUCUUUUUGUAACCGAAAAGAUAAAUGGUUUGUUCACCCAUUAAACUCCUACAUGAUCUGAGUUCAAACCGGAGAGACAUCCCGAUGGUGCAGCCGCUAUUAAAGGUUCGUUUGUUCAACGAUUAAAGUCCUACGUGAUCUGAGUUCAAACCGGAGA
rnacentral:rRNA from 1 species